UACGGGGGGGGGCAAGCGUUGUUCGGAAUUACUGGGCGUAAAGGGUUCGUAGGUGGCCAACUAAGUCAGACGUGAAAUCCCUCAGCUUAACUGGGGAACUGCGUCUGAUACUGGUUGGCUUGAGUGCAGGAGAGGAACGCGGAAUUCCAGGUGUAGCGGUGAAAUGCGUAGAUAUCUGGAGGAACACCGGUGGCGAAGGCGGCGUUCUGGAUUGCAACUGACACUGAGGAACGAAAGCCAGGGUAGCAAACGGG
rnacentral:rRNA from 1 species